GAGGGUAUAGCUCAGUGGUAGAGUGCGUGCUUAGCAUGCACAAGGUGCUGGGUUCAAUCCCCAGUAUCGCCA
rnacentral:tRNA from 1 species